CGAGGGGCAGCGGGGGUAGCAAUACCCGCCGGCGACCGGCGCACGGGUGAGUAACGCGUAUGCAACUUACCUAUCAGAGGGGGAUAACCCGGCGAAAGUCGGACUAAUACCGCAUGAAGCAGGGGCCCCGCAUGGGGAUAUUUGCUAAAGAUUCAUCGCUGAUAGAUAGGCAUGCGUUCCAUUAGGCAGUUGGCGGGGUAACGGCCCACCAAACCGACGAUGGAUAGGGGUUCUGAGGGGAAGGUCCCCCACAUUGGUACUGAGACACGGACCAAACUCCUACGGGAGGCAGCAGUGAGGAAUAUUGGUCAAUGGGCGCGAGCCUGAACCAGCCAAGUCGCGUGAGGGAUGAAGGUUCUAUGGAUCGUAAACCUCUUUUAUAAGGGAAUAAAGUGCGGGACGUGUCCUGUUUUGUAUGUACCUUAUGAAUAAGGAUCGGCUAACUCCGUGCCAGCAGCCGCGGUAAUACGGAGGAUCCGAGCGUUAUCCGGAUUUAUUGGGUUUAAAGGGUGCGUAGGCGGCCUUUUAAGUCAGCGGUGAAAGUCUGUGGCUCAACCAUAGAAUUGCCGUUGAAACUGGGGGGCUUGAGUAUGUUUGAGGCAGGCGGAAUGCGUGGUGUAGCGGUGAAAUGCUUAGAUAUCACGCAGAACCCCGAUUGCGAAGGCAGCCUGCCAAGCCAUGACUGACGCUGAUGCACGAAAGCGUGGGGAUCAAACAGG
rnacentral:rRNA from 1 species